AUGUGAUCGUCUCUCGCAUAUUCAAUAAGCGGAGGAAAAGAAACUAACAAGGAUUCCCCUAGUAACGGCGAGUGAAGCGGGAAGAGCUUAAAUUUGAAAUCUUAAAGGGUUUCCCUUUACGAAUUGUAGUUUAAAGAAGUGUUUUCUGUUGAGGUUUUGGUAAAAGUUCUUUGGAAUAGGACAUCAUAGAGGGUGAGAAUCCCGUAUUUGACCUUUACUUUCAACUUUGUGAUACACUUUCAAAGAGUCGGAUUGUUUGGGAAUGCAGUCCAAAAUGGGUGGUAAAUUUCAUCUAAAGCUAAAUAUUGGCGAGAGACCGAUAGCGAACAAGUACCGUGAGGGAAAGAUGAAAAGAACUUUGAAAAGAGAGUUAAACAGUACGUGAAAUUGUCAAAAGGGAAGCGUUUGACACCAGUGUUGUUUUUCUGAAAAUCAAUUAAAGAACUGUUUAUGCUAAGUUGUUUAGACUUUAUCAGCUAUCUGCUUAGUUUUGAGCUUUUCUUUAAUGCACUUUUCAGUUAACAAGUCAACAUCAAUUUCUUUUGCUGUAAAAAAGCUUGAGGAAGGUGGCUUGAGAUUCGUCUUAAGUGUUUAUAGCCUCUUGCCUAUGCAGUCGGAGAGAUUGAGGUCUGCAGCGUAGAUCCUUCGGGGCUAAAUGCAUUUGUGCUAAGUUAUAGCAUUUUAUAGACAACUUGUUGACUAUGAUUUGUCUUGUAGCUUACUCGCUUAUGUUAUUUUACCUACGCUUAGGAUGUUGACACACGCGCGUGCUCG
rnacentral:rRNA from 1 species